rnacentral:tRNA from 2 species
GGUAGGAUAGCUUAGUAAGUGACGGGUUGUAGCCCCGGAGACAGAGGUUUGAUCCCUCUUCCUAUCA